rnacentral:rRNA from 1 species
CGGGUGAGUAACGUGUGGGUAACCUGCCUCAUACAGGGGGAUAACAGUUAGAAAUGACUGCUAAUACCGCAUAAGACCACAGUACUGCAUGGUACAGUGGUAAAAACUCCGGUGGUAUGAGAUGGACCCGCGUCUGAUUAGGUAGUUGGUGAGGUAACGGCCCACCAAGCCGACGAUCAGUAGCCGACCUGAGAGGGUGACCGGCCACAUUGGGACUGAGACACGGCCCAG